GAUGAACGCUGGCGGCGUGCCUAAUACAUGCAAGUCGAACGAGUGGCGGACGGGUGAGUUAUGCUUGGGAAUCUAGCUUAUGGAGGGGGAUAACUACGGGAAACUGUAGUUAAUACCGCGUACCAUAGGAUGAGCCCCAGUGGGUUUAGGUAGUUGGUGAGGUAAAGGCUCAACAAGCCGAGGAUCUCUAGCUGGUCUGAGAGGAUGACCAGCCACCCUGGGACGGAGACACGGCCCAGACUCCUACGGGAGGCAGCAGUGGGGAAUAUUGCGCAAUGGGGGCAACCUGACGCAGCCAUGCCGCGUGAAUGAAGAAGGCCUUCGGGUUGUAAAGCACUUUAAGUUGGGAGGCGUUACCAACAGAAUAAGCACCGGCUAACUUCGUGCCAGCCGCCGCGGUAAUAC
rnacentral:rRNA from 1 species